rnacentral:rRNA from 1 species
CCUACGGGUGGCAGCAGUGGGGAAUAUUGGGCAAUGGAGGCAACUCUGACCCAGCAACGCCGCGUGAAUGAUGAAGGUCUUCGGAUUGUAAAGUUCUUUUCUACGGGAAGAAGAAAGUGACGGUACCUUAGGAAUAAGCCUCGGCUAACUACGUGCCAGCAGCCGCGGUAAUACGUAGGAGGCAAGCGUUAUCCGGAAUGACUGGGCGUAAAGGGUGCGUAGGUGGUUUGACAAGUUAGCAGCGCAACUCCGGGGCUCAACUUCGGAACUACAACUGAAACUGGUGAACUUGAGUGCAGGAGGGGCAAGCGGAAUUCCAGGUGUAGCGGUGAAAUGCGUAGAGAUUAGGAGGAACACCAGUGGCGAAGGCGGAUUGCUAGACAGUAACUGACGCUGAGGCACGAAAGCGUGGGGAGCAAACAGGAUUAGAUACCCCAGUAGUC